rnacentral:lncRNA from 1 species
GCACCCAGGUGAAAUAAACAGCCAUGUAGCUCACACAAAGCCUGUUUGGUGGUCUCUUCACAUGGAUGCGCAUGAAAUUUGGUGCCGUGACUCGGAUCGGGGGACCUCCCUUGGGAGAUCAAUCCCCUGUCCUCCUGUUCUUUGCUCCAUGAGAAAGAUCCACCUAUGACUUCAGGUCCUCAGACUGACCAGCCCAAGGAACAUCUCACCAAUUUUAAAUCAGCGGCCAGGGGUUCCUCCAGAACCUCCUCCUCCAGGAGCUUGCUACACAUGCCGGAAAUCUGGCCACUGGACCAAGGAAUGCCCGCAGCCCGGGAUUCCUCCUAAGCCGCGUCCCAUCUGUGUGGGACCCCACUGAAAAUCGGACUGUUCAACUCACCUGGCAGCCACUCCCAGAGCCCCUGGAACUCUGGCCCAAGGCUCUCUGACUCCUUCCCAGAUCUUCUCGGCUUAGCGGCUGAAGACUGACACUGCCCGAUCGCCUCGGAAGCCCCCUAGACCAUCACGGACGCCGAGCUUCAGGUAACUCUCACAGUGGAAGGAAAUGACGGGGCUGAAUCCUGUUGGAGUGAUUUGUUCUUCGGACUUUGUAUCUUAAAUGAAAUCUUCUCCCUUAGAGGCCACAUAAACUGAUGGUACAAUCUGCAAAUCUAAGGCAAAUUCAUAGGUUAUACUUUUUCUUCUUCAUACUUGACAUUUGA